rnacentral:rRNA from 1 species
AGAAUCAACGCUGGCGGCGUGCCUAACACAUGCAAGUCGCACGAGAAAGGGACUUCGGUCCUGAGUACAGUGGCGCACGGGUGAGUAACACGUGAAUAAUCUACCUCCGAGUGGGGAAUAACUGAGAGAAAUCUUAGCUAAUACCGCAUAACACUUACGAGUCAAAGCAGCAAUGCGCUUGGAGAGGAGUUCGCGGCAGAUUAGUUAGUUGGCGGGGUAAUGGCCCACCAAGACGAUGAUCUGUAUCCGGCCUGAGAGGGCGCACGGACACACUGGAACUGAAACACGGUCCAGACUCCUACGGGAGGCAGCAGUGGGGAAUUUUUGCGCAAUGGGGGAAACCCUGACGCAGCAACGCCGCGUGGAGGAUGAAAUCCCUUGGGAUGUAAACUCCUUUCGAUAGGGAAGAUAAUGACGGUACCUAUAGAAGAAGCCCGGCUAACUUCGCGCCAGCAGCCGC